CUUGGUUCUGGAGAUGAAAAAGUGAGGAAAAGUGAUGUUAAAAAGUUUCUGACUCCAGGAUAUUCAACCUCUGGCCACGUAGAAUUAUACACAAUUAGUGUAGAGAGGGGAAUGUCAUGGGAGGAAGCUACCAAGAUUUGGGCCGAGCUGACAGGACCAGACGAUGGCUUUUACUUGUCAUUAUAAGGAACAACAAGAAAACUGCCAUCUUAGUUAAAGAAGUGAAUCCUAAAAAGAAACUUUUCUUAGUUUAUCGACCAAAUACUGGGAAGCAGCUCAAAUUAGAAAUUUAUGCUGAUCUAAAAAAGAAAUAUAAGAAGGUCGUCUCAGAUGAUGCCCUGAUGCACUGGUUAGAUCAGUAUAAUUCAUCUGCAGAUACUUGUACUCAUGCUUAUUGGCGCGGCAAUUGCAAAAAAGCAAGCUUGGGGCUAGUUUGUGAAAUAGGUCUUCGUUGCCGUACAUAUUAUGUAUUAUGUGGUUCAGUGCUGAGUGUCUGGACAAAAGUUGAGGGUGUUCUAGCAUCUGUCAGUGGCACAAACGUGAAGAUGCAGAUCGUGCGGCUAAGAACGGAAGAUGGGCAACGGAUUGUAGGUUUGAUCAUUCCGGCAAAUUGUGUGUCUCCUCUUGUAAAUCUCCUAUCAACUUCAGACCAGUCUCAACAGCUUGCGGUCCAACAGAAACAGCUAUGGCAACAGCAUCACCCUCAGAGCAUCACCAACUUGAGCAACGCAUGAAGAACAGACAGGUUUCAACAUGGAUGGAUCUGAAAUGCUGUUGAAGCAUAUCAUUUGCAUAAAAAUCAGGGACAGUUUCCAAAGAAUUAUAUAUUUUUUUCAGUUGUGCUCUCUAGUUAGUUUUUUUGGGAGUAAGGACAAACCUGGAAUAGAUAGCAAAACUGAAAAUCAGCAGUGCUGAUGGUGGUACAUAUGUCUUUCCUUUAGCUUCUCCCCUGAUAAUUCCCAUCUGCUUUUACUUUGGGUGAGCAGAGGGGGAUGUGUGCGUGCGUGUGUGUCAGUCUGUUUGUGAGUAUGUUAAAGGCUACAGACCACAGUUGGUUUAAAAUGCUUGGAACUUCCCAAACUGGCUUUACUUUAUGUUUAUACAGUGCUCAGGGUUAACGCAGUACAUCCAUGCCAUUGCUGUGGGAGGUAUCCCCGGAUGCAUGUGUUUUGAGUCUAUAAAUAUAGAAAAUAUAUAUUGGUUUCUUUCUCCAACUUAGUAGGUUUAUUAAAGCAUGAAAUGAAAGGUUGCAUAUCAUGCAUUCAGGUUAUUUUCUAAUUUUUGUUCUGACAGUGCAUGUCUUUGGAAGCAUGCUGAAACAAGAUUAACACAGGAGUCGAGUAACAGAGAGAAAUAUUUGUUAGAUGUACAGCAUUGGUUAUUGCAUUUUUAUAGUGUUUAUACCUGGGUAUUGCUUCAAACCCUGCAGACCCCUCCUUCCCCUUCUCCCUGCCCUGGGUUUCUGGUCAAGGUAAUGAAUACAUACAUUUUUCUGUGAUAAAACUCUUAAAAGUUAAUUUUAAUGUAUUAAUAGUAUUCCUAAUGUGUGCUGCAGAAAUGGCUAUGAGCCUCUUAAAUUUACAUUUUCAACUUAAAGGUAGUUUUAGAAGGAAGUACAAAUUGGCUUUCAUCUUGCAAACAAUCGUUUUUUACUUCAUUAUCUUAAUUUGCUUUGUCACUCAUAAAAAGGAAACCAUACUUGAGUUGUAGACAAUGAGGAAACACUUGAGGCUUCUGCUGUAUGUUUUUUUGUUAUUGUUGUUAUUGUUGUUACUCAGUAACUUGAAUAUUGUUUAAUGUGUUGUAAGACGUAGAGUUUAUCUCAAGCUGUUAAAAAUGGUAAUGUACAAAUGUGAAUAGACACUUAUCUAUAUAAUAUGGGUAAGUUUUGUUUCGCCUAUAAUAGAUGUUUAUAAAAACA
rnacentral:lncRNA from 1 species